UUUGCUAUUCUACUGAUACGGUUUGGCUGUGUCCCCACUCGGAUCUCAUCUUGAAUUGUAGCUCCAGUAUUCCCACCUGUUGUAGGAGGGACCUGGUGGGAGGUAAUUGAAUCGCGGGGGCAGUUUCCCUCAUACUGUUCUCAUGACGGCGAGUAAGUCUCACGAGAUUUGAUGGUUUUAUAAGGGGUCUUCCCUUUCACUUGGCUUUCAUUCUUUCUUGCCUGCCAUGAUGUAAGACGUUCCUUUCACCUUCCACUAUGAUUGUGAGGCCUCUCCAGCCACGUGGAACUUCAGGUGAAGAAGUCAUAUUCCGCGAAUGUCUAAGGUUGGCUGGCCAGCAGAGUUUGGACGGUCGAACACACUUUUUGGCUCUGCCUCUGCACGGUGGCCAGUUUCACAAAGAGGCUGCAGGAAGCUGCUUCCAGCAGGCUGAGUCCUGAGGAGGAGACGAUAACAGUGGGAGAAGCACCUGGUAACAGCGGCACUUCAUCCAGGAAGAAAACAGGAUCUAAAAUAUAAACAACAUCCUUACAACACAAAAUAUGAGCGUCUAUCAUGGACCAACCAAUAACUGCAAUAAAAGUGUGAUAAAUGCUGUAUCCCCUGGCAGAUGAUGAGUAUCUUCAAAAUGAUUGGGACCAGAGCAGCCAGCAGAUGUUUCCAAUUCUGGGCCCUUUGUUUGCUGUGGAAGAUGCACCUUUGCUGAGCUUGGCUGCUGAAUGGACGGCCCUUGCUGAGCUUGUCAGCCUUAACACUGGUUAGUGAUUUGUGUUGGGCUAUUAAACGCAGAAGAAAAGCAAUGUGGUCUUUUUUUUUUUUUCAGGGAAAGAAUAGAUGGAAUGUCCCUGAAUAAA